rnacentral:rRNA from 1 species
AUUGAACGCUGGCGGCGGGCCUAACACAUGCAAGUCGAACGGGUGGCGGAGGGGUGGGUAGGGUCUGGGAAACUGCGUGAUGGAGGGGGAUAAGUACUGGAACCGGUAGCUAAUGCCGCUUAACGUGCGAUGUGCUCAGAUGGGAUUAGCUAGUUGGUGGGGUAACGGCUCACCAAGGCGACGAUCCCUAGCUGGUCUGAGAGGAUGACCAGCCACACUGGAACUGAGACACGGUCCAGACUCCUACGGGAGGCAGCAGUGGGGAAUCUUGCACAAUGGGCGCAAGCCUGAUCCAGCCAUGCCGCGUGUAUGAAGAAGGCUUUCGGGUUGUAAAGUACUUUCAUUGGGGAGGCGUUACCCGCAGAAGAAGCACCGGCUAACUCCGUGCCAGCAGCCGCGGUAAUUC